rnacentral:lncRNA from 1 species
UUCCUAACACCACCCCUGAAUUAGACUCAGCCUCCAUGAAUGACAACACUCACCUGAAAUAAUUAACUCCCUGGGAUUCAAUGCAAAUUGGGGGUUCUAUGCAAAUUCUCCCUUCCCUCUUCACACCGCUCUUCUGUGACUAAAAUACACGACACACACACAGCCCAGCUCCACACAAAUUAGAUUGAGACGUUUUCUGGAAAAACAAUCCAUGGUUCUGUUUCCAUGGAAGCAAUCGCAUGUCCCCAGUGGCAGCAAAUGGCAGGCAGACGGCGCAGGAGGAAAGAAUUCUUGAUGUGACAGGGUACAAACUGGGGGCCCACGAGACAAAUUCUCCACUGGAGCCAAUCAAGAACCCGUGAAGCUUCUGGAGAAAAAGUGAAGACCUGGACCAUUGGGUCCCCAUUGUAAGGUAGUAACAAUAAUAACAACAAACAUAAUGAUGAUAAUUGUGAUUUAUUGAAUCUAUCUAGAUUCAUUACAACUCUAUGAGGUAUCGCUAGUCUUAUUUUAUAGAUCACCAUUCUAAGACUCAGAGAGGUUAAGUAAUUUGGCUAAUGAGUGGCAGGGCUAGGACUCAAACCUAAGUCUAUCUGACUCCAAAUCUUGUUCUAUUUCAUGGACUCAGCUGCCUCCCUUUCAUGGUCUUCCUCAGACUCCAUUGUGUCCUUUUGUGCCUGUCCAGACCCCUCCCUACUUCCUCUGUGCGUGUAGUCAGAGGAGGUCCCUAGAGAUCCCAUCAAUCUGAACCCCUGUAAAAGGCCGUUUCCUCAUAACACACCCUGAACAUCUGUGAAAACAAUUUCUCCUCAAGCCUACAACUGAACCUCAUAAUAAAAACUCACCCUCCAAUAUAGACUUAAAAAAA